GCGGGAAAAUGCUACAGGUAAAUAUGAUAAUGGUAAUAAUAAAUGCCAGAAAUAAUUUAAAUGCUAGAAAAAUGCUGCCAUGAAACAGAGAAUUGUAGUAGUCUUAUGAAAGGACUAGAAGGCAAAGUACUGCAAACGACUCAUCGGGACCAGAACAACGGUACCAAAAAUGUUAUCGGUACUCAAAUAACGGUACCCAAAACACAAAAUGCUAUCCGGUACCAAAUAGAAGAGGCCAGAAUCAGUAAUGGACCAGAACAACGGUACCAAAAAUGUUAUCGGUACUCAAAUAACGGUACCAAAAACAAAAUGUUAUCUGGUACCAAAUAGAAGAGGCCAGAAUCUGUAAGGGGCCAGAACAACGGUACCAAAAAUGUUAUCGGUACUCAAAUAACGGUACCAAAAACAGAAAAUGCUAUCCGGUACCAGAAAAAGAGGGCAGAAUCAGUAAGGGGCCAGAACAACGGUACCCAAAAUGUUAUCGGUACUCAAAUAACGGUACCAAAAACAGAAAAUGCUAUCUGGUACCAGAAAGAGGGCAGAAACAGUUAGUAAGGGAGGAUGGAUAUGACUGACAAUCUCUCUCUCUCUCUCUCUCUCUCUCUCUCUCUCUCUCUCGUAAGGCCAAAAUCGCACAAAUGGACAGCAAUACUUGUCGCAACUCUACUGCAAAUGUGUUUCUCUGUGGGCUGUGACGGAAGGAAGGAAGGAAGGAAGGAAGGAAGGAAGGAAGGAAGGGAAGGCAAAUUGAGAGAGAAUGGAUAUAAGGAGAGGGAAGGAAAGGAAGGAAGAGAAAGGAAGGAAGAGAAGGGAAGGAAAGAGAAGAGAAGGGAAGGGAAGGGAAGGGAGAGGAAGGGAAGGGAAGGGAAAGAAAGCAUAUAGAACCAGUAGUAGUUGUAGUUGUAGUAGUAGUAGUAGUAGUAGUAGUAGUUGUUGUUCUUGUCAGUGUAACUUUUAGACGCGAAAUCUUAGUGAAAAAUAUAAAUCGAUCGACUACUAUCCAAAGCUAACACACACACACACACACACACACACACACACACACACACACA